rnacentral:lncRNA from 1 species
AUCUCUUAAACACUCUGAAGAAACACAUCUAAGAGAUAUAUCUUUUGUAAUCUGUAUACACCACUUGUAUUCAGAAAAAUAUUAGAUAGCUUGAAGAUAGCAAAGCUUGUAAUAAGGUAAUCACUUAUGGAGUUCUAAACUUCAUAAGGUGAGUACCAAAGGUAUGUAAAUAUAGAUUGUAAGCAUGUACUAUUUCAGUUUAUGAAUAUCAAAG